UGGGGAAUGGACUGUCAGUCCAGACUUCCAUCCUGUCCAUAUUGAGUGAUCAUGGUGACCUCGGUUUGGACUGUGCUGGAAAGACAACAAUUUUAUGCAGGCUGCAGUUCAACGACUUUGUAAAUACCAUGCCUACAAAAGGAUUUAACACUGAGAAAACUAAGGUAACCUUGGGCAAUUCUCAAACAGUCACUUUUCACUUCCGGAUGUAGUCACUUUUCACUUUCUGAGCAAGAGAAAUUAAGACCACUGUGAUAGUUAUAUACCCCAUGCAUAGAUGACAUUGUGUUUGUGGUGGACUCUGUCGGU
rnacentral:lncRNA from 1 species